ACUAUGUAUGGCUGAAUAUUGAAUUGUCCUUUUCUUUCCAGGAAGUAGUUGAGCAGCUCUUCUUAAGUGGCAUCUCAGAAAAGUCUUUGAGAAACACAAGAGAAAGUGAGAUCCCUACCCGCUGUGUCAUGUGCGAUGAAGAGUUUCUGCCCUUUAAAGAAAACACAUUUGAUCUGGUGGUCAGCAGCCUGAGAUCAACCAGGUCCUGAAGCCAGAUGUGGUGUUCAUGGGGGCCAUGGUGGGCACGGAGACCCUGUACAAGCUGCGCUGCUCCCUGCAGCUGACUGAGCUCGAGGGGAAGGGGGUCCCCCACGUGUCCCCCCACAUGGCCGUCACAGACCUGGGCAACCUGCUGGGCCAGGCAGGCAGGCUUCAGUAUGCUGACGGACAUUGAUGAAAUUCAAGUGCACUAUCCUGGGAUACUAGAGGUCAUGAGUGACCUGCAAGGGAGAGCAACUGCACUUGGAACAAGAAGUCCAUGUUGAACAGAGACACCAUUUUAGCUGCAGCUGCAAUCUACCAAGGGAGGAGACCAAUAAUCAGAUGGUCACUCUGACAGAGCUCCAGAGUUCCUCUGUGGAGAUGGGAGAACGUUCCAGAAGGACAACCAUCUCUGCAGCACUCCACCAAUUAGGCCUUUAUGGUAGAGUGGCCAGACGGAAGCCACUCCUCAGUAAAAGGCACAUGACAGCCUGCUUGGAGUUUUCCAAAAGCCACCUAAAGGACUCUGACCAUGAGAAACAAGUUUUUCUGGUCUGAUGAAACCAAGAUUGAACUCUUUGGCCUGAAUGUCAAGCGUCACUUCUGGAGGAAACCUGGCACCAUUCGUACGGUGAAGCAUGGUGGUGGCAGCAUCAUGCUGUGGGGAUGUUUUCAGCGGUAGGGACUGGGAUACUAGUCAGGAUCAAGGAAAGAUGAACGAAGCAAAGAACAGAGAGAUCCUUGUACACCUGCUCCAGAGUGCUCAGGAACUCAGACUGGGGCAAAGGUUCACCUUCCAACAGGACAACGACCCUAAGCACACAGCCAAGACAACACAGGAGUAGCUUCGGGACAAGUCUCUGAAUGUCAAAAUACAGAGGUGCCAAGCUUGUAGCGUCAUACCUAAAGAAGACUCGAGGUUGUAGUUCCUGCCAAAAGGUGCAUCAACAAAGUACAGAGUAAAGGGUCUGAAUUACUUAUGUAAGUGUGAUCAGUUUUAUUUUUUUAUUUAAAAAAAAUACAUUUGCAAAUAAUGUUUAAAAACCUGUUUUUGCUUUUUCUUAUCGGGUAUUGUGUGUAGAUUGAUGAGGGGAAAAAACAAUUUAAUACAUUUUAGAAUAAGGCUGUAACGUGACAAAAUGUGGAAAAAGUCAAGGGGUCUGAAUACUUUCCGAAUGCACUGUAAUGGGGCGGCAGGGUAGCCUAGUGGUUAGAGCGCUGGACUAGUAACCGGAAGGUUGCAAGUUCAAACCCCUGAGCUGACAAGGUACAAAACUGUCGUUCUGCCCCUGAACAGGCAGUUAACCCACUGUUCCUAGGCCGUCAUUGAAAAUAAGAAUUUGUUCUUAACUGACUUGCCUAGUUAAAUGAAGGUAAAAAAAAAAAAAAUCUAUGGGUUCCUAUUCAUGCACAAAAUGCACAUCGUUCAUGCCUUGAUAUAGUUUUUACUUCUUGUAUAACUGCAUUGCAAUAAUAUAUCAUUUCCAUUUAAGUUUGGACAGUGGACUCUUUAUUUCAUAGCUGGAUUCACACAUCUGAAUUUGUGGUCACUGACAAAAUGUCAGUUGUAUUUUAUCAUUACAUUGUUUUCAUAUCCUGUACUAAAUGUAAAUUUGAUUUUUAUAAUGGAUAAAUAAAGUAUGUUUUGUAUAUUUCUUUUAAACAUUUAGAUUUGAAAGGGGAGGUGCUUUACAAGCCUCUUGUUUUUUAUGUCUCCUGCACAUGUGCAUUUAUUUAGUAUUUAAUUAUCAUAAUUUUGUCUUUUUCUUGUUUAAAUAAACAUUUAAUAAUGUAACGAAUGUACUUAACAUGGAAAAUAUGCUGUGGUCAAUCUUGAGAAAUAACCAUUAAAACACG